rnacentral:rRNA from 1 species
AUCCAGCCAUGCCGCGUGAGUGAUGAAGGCCCUAGGGUUGUAAAGCUCUUUCACCGGUGAAGAUAAUGACGGUAACCGGAGAAGAAGCCCCGGCUAACUUCGUGCCAGCAGCCGCGGUAAUACGAAGGGGGCUAGCGUUGUUCGGAAUUACUGGGCGUAAAGCGCACGUAGGCGGGUAUUUAAGUCAGGGGUGAAAUCCCGGAGCUCAACUCCGGAACUGCCUUUGAUACUGGGUACCUAGAGUAUGGAAGAGGUAAGUGGAAUUCCGAGUGUAGAGGUGAAAUUCGUAGAUAUUCGGAGGAACACCAGUGGCGAAGGCGGCUUACUGGUCCAUUACUGACGCUGAGGUGCGAAAGCGUGGGGAGCAAACAGGAUUAGAUACCCUG